UAUCUAUUUUUCAUGUUGUGCGUAUAAUAAUUUACUUGAAAAGAGACACGUCCAUUGUUUAACUGCAUCAUCUACACAAACCAUUGUGCUUGGACCCCUUAUGAUCACCUGGACUUAAACCACAUUGUUUCAGUUACCUUCUGUGUCUUUGGCCACAACGCUUCAGUGACAGGAAUGUGAAAUAGCAAACAAGGGAACAAAUAAAAGGCAUGACUUUAUUUGCAUCCAGCUAGCCAACUCUAUUACAGAUGUUCCACAGCCAAGACUCUUAUUAGAAUAGAAAAUAGCAAGGGUUCGAAUAAAUAGUUUAUUAAUCAUUUAAUUUCACUUUCUUAAUGAAUAUUGUUCUGUGUAUGUGAUUUCAAAGUCUUGAUGCUUCGGAUUAACCCGUUAAUUGCCGUAUCCCUUAAAACCUGAGUGCCAGAGGAUUACUGUAAAUGCAUGUGCCCGCUGGGCACAGUUUACCUGAUGCCACCGGGGUGGCGUUUGCGCUGAUGGCUUGAGCCCGCCAUCGCUGCUUGCAGCUAUAUUUUGUUAUUAUUAUUAUUUAUUAUUCUAAUUUUUUUUCAAGGUUUCGGGGGCUUUUAGGGCCCUUAACUUGCUUAAAAAGUCUUGAAAAUUGGCACACACAUUGGAACCUGCGGCCAUUAGGGCCGGGCAGAGACUGAUACACGGGCGUGGCACAGAGGC
ensembl:lncRNA